ACCACCUUCUACCUUAUGGGCAUCCCCUCUCUGCCAAAAUCCCUUUUCCUUCCUAUUUUCUUUGUCUUUCUCCUCCUCUACGUGCUCAUCCUGAUGGGUAAUACCUUUAUCCUGGUGGCUGUGGUGGCCAAGCCCAGCCUCCACAAGCCCAUGUACUUCUUCCUGAUAAACCUCUCCACCUUGGACAUUCUUGUUACCACAACCACUGUCCCCAAGAUGCUGUCCCUGUUCUUGCUUGGGGACAGCUUCCUCAGCUUCCCUGCCUGCUUCCUGCAGAUGUACCUGUUCCACAGCUUCUCCUCCUCAGAAGCCUUCAUCCUGGUGGUCAUGGCCUAUGACCGCUAUGUGGCUAUCUGCCGCCCACUGCACUACCCUGUCCUCAUGACCCCUCAGACCAACACUGUCUUGACAACCAGUGCCUGGCUCACUGCCCUCCUCCUGCCCAUUCCAGCAGUGGUACAGACCUCCCAGAUGGCAUUUGACAUCAUUGUCCACAUCUACCACUGCUUCUGUGACCACUUGGCUGUGGUCCAGGCCUCCUGCUCUGACACCACCCCCAGACUUUCAUGGGUUUCUGCAUCACCAUGGUGGUGUCCUUCCUCCCCCUUCUGCUGGUGCUUCUCUCCUAUGCCCACAUCUUGACCUCAGUGCUUUGCAUCAACUCCCAAGAAGGACGCUCCAAAGCUUUCUCCACCUGCAGCUCCCACCUCCUGGUGGUGGGCACCUACUAUUCAUCCAUUGCCAUAGCCUAUGUGGCCUACAGGGCUGACCUGCCCCUAGACUUCCACGUCAUGGGCAAUGUGGUAUAUGCCAUUCUCACACCUGUUCUCAACCCUGUCAUCUACAAACUGAGGAACAAGGAUGUCAAAGCAGCCAUCACCAAGAUUGCAUGUCCCCAGGAGCCA
rnacentral:sRNA from 1 species